rnacentral:lncRNA from 1 species
AAAACAUUCACCUUAUUAGCCUAAUUGCAGUUCUAUUUAGCAUUUUCUCCACCUUUCUCUCUGCUGUAGACACACAUCCCUUAUUUAAAUUUUACACAGUAGUUAGAGGCCAAGAAAAUAAGGAGGAAUGCUCAUUCCAUAAAAUGUGAUACUUCUAAUUAGUCUGUUGAGACUUUUGGAAUAUGCAUGAAGCUGUAGAUGUGGUAUUAAAUCACAUUUUUAUUACCCAAAAAUUAAUGUUUACCAUGUGUAUGCAAAGGUGUUAAGGAUUUGAAGUGUUAAGUUCAGACGAUACCAAAAGUCAUUUGUUUCUAUAAUAUAGUUCAAUAUAUAUUUCUAUCCUUUAAAAAUACUUUUGGACAAAAUAUCUCAUUUUUCCCACUUUCUUUAUUGUGACUUUUAAUUUAAUUUUACCUUUUGUUAAAUUUUUCAAAGAAAUACAUACUUUGCUAGUAUUUGGAAUAUAUUCAAUUUUGGUAAAGAGGGCAUCAUUGAGGCCAACAUUGUGUCUAGCUCACUGACAGAGAUAUAACUUCAUAGAUUUAAAUAGUAUUUAGCUGUCAUACUUACUCAUAAGAACUGACAAAUUUAUAAUGGCUGACAGACAGGAAUUGAUUUAUGAGUUUUGGGAAUGGAAGGAAACCAAUGGAAAUGCCCUUAUUAAAAAUCUGCAAUUUUUUCCUCAGGCCAUGUUACCAUAAUAAAUGUGAAAAUAGGCUUGAUUUCAUUCAGAAUUAAUGUAGUUUAAAAUUGAAAUGAAUCUCACCUCCUGCCUCCAGGAGGUCUGCUGACAUUUCUAGGGCUGUGUCAGAGUCCACAUGAUAAACACAAUGCAUGUGCAUAUAUGUAUACAUUAGAUCCACCAAAAGCAUAAUUAAUAAGGUAAUAGUUUGUUUAAAUCAAAGAUUAUUCAUUGCGGAGGUAAAACCCAUAAACAAAGAUUGAUUAAAUGUGGAGGUAAAACCCUUAAGUGCAGAAAAUGUCAAGAAAAACAGGUGGCUCAGUCAGUUAAGCAUCUGACUCUUGAUUUUGGUUCAGGUCAUGAUCUCAGAGUUAUGAGAUCGAGUCCCACACCAGGCUCCAUGCUCAGAGAGUCUGCUUAAGAUCCUUCCUCUCUCCUUCUCCCUCAGCCUCUCCCUCUGCUCAUGUGUACAUGUACGCUCUCUCUCCCUCUCUCAAAUAAAUAGAUUUAUUUUUAAAAUGUAGACAAUGUCCACUUGGUAAGAUUCUGAAUAAGUUUAGAGUAUCAAUAGUGAUUAGUUCUAUUUUGCUAAUAAACUUGGUUAAGAAGAAAAAUUUAAUAAUCAAAUUAUCUUAGAAUUUUUCUCCCUCCCUUCCUCCAUCUCUUUCUCCCACACUGAAAUUUUGACUACAUCAAAAACUUCCCAUACCUCCUUCAUGAGGUAGAGAAAUCAACUUUGUACCACAAAAAGGAUCACACAAUUAAAGAGAAUGAAGUCAAGUGUUACCAUCAUUAUAGAGAAGUUUAAACAAAUUUAGCAUCACAGAGAGAACUCAAACCAAAGGAAAAAUUAAGUUUACUUUGAGAUGAUAACCCUCCUCAACUGGGUUUCAUUUGAAAAAUAAAUGUCACCUUGUAAUUUUGAGAAACAUAUCUUUGCUAAAGUGAAGUUCCCAUGUAUACAUUUUAGGGAGCCUAAAUCAAUCUGAAAUGUGUUAUUUAAGUAGUUGAAAUCAGCUAUUGUAUAUAAUGUGGCAGUUGAAGGUCUAUGUACUUACUUUCUUGUUUCCCUUUCCAAUAGUGUCCAGGGGGCUUUUAUAAAGAUCAUCUGGUUUUAAUUAAGUUAAAUUUAAAUUUAUAGUCUGUUCUACUGAUAGCUCUCUCAGCAGAAAAAAAAUCUGGUCACCAAUUCAUCUGGUGAUGGAUUUGAUGGUUGAAUUCAGCAAAAUAAGCUCUUAUUCUUUGGCUGGCUCUACAUUUAUGUAUAAGAUGGACUAUAUCUCUGUACCUAGAAAGGUCAAAUUUUGUUGCAUGCGAGCCCUUGUACUACUACUAAUACUACAAAUACAAGAGAAAUAAUGAGUAUAUAUGUGUUUCAAUGAAAGCCCCAAAAUUCAGAGGUACCAAAGAUAAUCUAAAAUAAAACAUCAAAAUUAUUUCUCUUAAUAAAUACAUGAAGGUAUACAAUGAAAUUGUUUAAGAUAGAAUCUAAGGAUGCAGAAAAAUAUUUUCAAAAACUAGGUAUUUUUAAGUUAAAGUAACUGUGGGCUCAAAGUGAAUUCCAAGAACUACAUAAAACAAAAAAGAAAAUAGGAAAAAAAAAAAAAAAAAAGCCUUGACAUUAAUGACAAAAAUAAAGGCCUUCCAUUCCUUUGACUGAUGGAAGAUAAGGCAAAUUAUUCAGACAGAAGAAUAAUCAGAGGGAAUGAUUACCUUUUCAUGAUUGUCUUGAAGUGAGGUAAUUUAUGUGAUAAUUUGGAACCAUAUAGAAGAAAGCAAAUAACAUUUAAUUUAGGAGCUCAGUGGUCCAUUCGUAUCAGCUAUUUGGAGUUCUAUUAUUCAAAACAACUUUAUAUUCCACAAUCUACUUUAAAGAAAUACAUUUCUUAACUUUUGAAGAAGAUGGCAGAAUAGAAGGUCUUUAAACUCACCUUGUUCCACAGAUACAACUAGAUAACACUCACAUCCAUGUAAAUAACCCAGAAAAUGCUCGAGAAACAAAUAAACAAAAACAAAAACCCAGACUCUUGUAGAAAACGAAGUGAUGGUUACCAGAGGGGAGGUGGGUGAAAUAGCUGAAGGAGGUAAGAGUGCACUUAUCAGGAUGAGCACUGAGCAAUAUGCAGAACUGUUGAGCCACUAUUUUGUACACCUGAAACUAAUAUAACAUUGUAUAUUAACCAUACUGGAAUUAGAUUUUUAAAAAAAAAUAAUAAUAUAUAUAUUUGCCACAUAGUUUAGAAGAAAACCUAUUUGGUACCUUACUUAUUUCUGAAAAAAACAAUCCACAGCAGUAACUAGUUGAGUGUUUGAGUAACUAGUAAACAUGUGUGUACAUCUCAGAGGCCAUCUUAAAAUUCACCUUAACACAGUCUGUCCAUGGGGAUCCUGGGUGGCUCAGCGGUUUAACAUCUGCCUUCGGCCCAGGGCAUAAUCCUGGAGAGCCCACACCGGGCACCCUGCAGGGAGCCUGCUUCUCCCUCUGCCUGUGUCUCUGCCUCUCUCUCUGUCUCUCAUGAAUAAAUAAAUAAAAUCUUAAAAAAAAAAAAAAACACACAAUCUGUCCUCUGACACCCAAAGAUUCAUGUCCAUCCCAAAGCACAUUCGUACCUUCCUAAGCUUCUGAAGAAUCUCAUCCCCUUCAAACAAUGGCUCAAGUCUAAAAAUUCAUCAUCUAAAUCUCAUUGUCUACAUGAUCGGAAUCAUGCCUGAUCAGGUUCUAAGUUAUAAUCCAUCCUGGAAAUAAAGUAAUAUGCCGGAGUUAUGUGGCCUCACAACCUAUAGUGGUGGAAUUAGUAUAGGAUAAAAAUUAUAGGCAGUUCAUUUCAAAAAAGAAGGAAAAUAUGUUAAGAAGUCUUUGGACCAAAGCAAUUUUGAAAUCCAGCCAGGCAAAAUUCAACCAGAUUUCCCCGAUCUGGUUUUAAAGCCUGGGAAUAAGCCUCAUGUCUUUCAGCUCCUUCCCCUCUCUGGGUUCCUAAUUUGACGUUCUGAGUCAUUAUAAAUAGAAAGUGUUAG